GACGAACGCUGGCGGCGUGCUUAACACAUGCAAGUCGACCGGAGUGGCAAACGGGUGAGUAACACGUGGGUGACCUGCCCUGCACUUCGGGAUAAGCCUGGGAAAAUGGGUCUAAUACCGGAUAGUGUGGGAUGGGCACGCGGCCUAUCAGUUUGUUGGUGGGGUAAUGGCCUACCAAGGCGGCGACGGGUAGCCGGGCUGGGGGGGUGGACGGCCACAUUGGGGCGGAGACAGGGCCCAGACUCGUACGGGAGGCAGCAGUGGGGAAGAUUGCACAAUGGGCGGAAGCCUGAUGCAGCGACGCCGCGUGGGGGAUGACGGCCUUCGGGUUGUAAACUCCUUUCACCAUCGACGCGGUAGAUGGAGAAGAAGCACCGGCUAACUACGUGCCAGCAGCCGCGGUAAUUC
rnacentral:rRNA from 1 species